rnacentral:rRNA from 1 species
UACGUAGGGGGCUAGCGUUGUCCGGAAUCAUUGGGCGUAAAGAGCGUGUAGGCGGUCCGGUAAGUCCGCUGUGAAAGUCGGGGGGCUCAACCCUCGAAUGCCGGUGGAUACUGUCGGGCUAGAGUACGGAAGAGGCGAGUGGAAUUCCUGGUGUAGCGGUGAAAUGCGCAGAUAUCAGGAGGAACACCUAUUGCGAAGGCAGCUCGCUGGGACGUGAACUGACGCUGAGACGCGAAAGCGUGGGGAGCAACAGG